AUUGAACGCUGGCGGCAUGCCUUACACAUGCAAGUCGAACGGCAGCACGGGAGCAAUCCUGGUGGCGAGUGGCGAACGGGUGAGUAAUAUAUCGGAACGUGCCCAGUCGUGGGGGAUAACGCAGCGAAAGCUGUGCUAAUACCGCAUACGAUCUCUGGAUGAAAGCGGGGGACUCGCAAGGGCCUCGCGCGAUUGGAGCGGCCGAUAUCAGAUUAGCUAGUUGGCGGGGUAAAGGCCCACCAAGGCGACGAUCUGUAGCUGGUCUGAGAGGACGACCAGCCACACUGGAACUGAGACACGGUCCAGACUCCUACGGGAGGCAGCAGUGGGGAAUUUUGGACAAUGGGCGCAAGCCUGAUCCAGCAAUGCCGCGUGCAGGAUGAAGGCCUUCGGUU
rnacentral:rRNA from 1 species